rnacentral:lncRNA from 1 species
UUCCUGUCAGCCCCCUCUACUGCCAGCUUUCCCUCCACAAUGUGCAGCCUUCAUAAACUGCCCUUCCUGAAACCAGAAGCCUGAACAAACCUCCACAGCAUUUCUCCGUUUCCCGUGGCCUGGGAAGAGAGUGGCCUACAGUCAGGGGGCUCCGCUUCAAGUUGUUUUAUCAUAUAUUUUGGUCACGUGACGAGAAAGGUAGUUCAUACUGCCACAUGCUCUGGUCACGCUCUGGGCCAUCUUCCCAGCAGCUUGGGUGGCAGCAACCAUCGGCCAUACAGAGCCCAGGAGGUUUCCAGCAGAAGGUGUGGCCCAGAUUAAAGAUACAAACCGCUACACCUGGAACUUGGACUUGCUUUGUCCCAGGCUGACCUUGAACUCAGAGAUCUCCUUGCCUCAGUCUCCUGGAAUUAAAGGUGUGUACUACCUUGCUUGGGCCUGCGAUUUUCAUGGCCACUGUCCCUCAAGAUCUCCAUGCCAAGAUCCAGGUCAGAAACUUGUGUCUUCCAGCCUCAAGAUCUGGAUCACAGGUGUGCUCUCUGAUUCUGGGUUGUAGUUCAUUCCAGAUAUAGUCAAGUUGACAACCAGGAAUAGCCACUACAACCCACAUGGUGGGAAGAGAGAACUGACUCCUACAAUUUGCCCUUUGAUCUUUAUACCGUCGAAGGCCCUUGAGAAUCCACUCACACAUCACACACACAACGAAGUGUAAUAAUAACUUAAGGACAAGAAAGAUGGAGUUCCAGUCUGUUUUCUAUGAGUUUCUGUAUCCUGAGCAGGUCUAUGGUGGCUAAUGUUGAUUGUCACCUGAGAGGAUCUAGACUCAGGUAAGAGACAGAGUUCUGGGUGUGCUUUUCUAGGUUGUUUUAAUUAAGGUGGGAAGACCCACUUGAAUGCAGGCAGAGGUUCCCAACAGAAGAAAAAGGAGAGAGUAAGCAGAGCACCAGCAUCCAUCUCUCAGCUUCCUGACUGUGGAUACAAUGUGACCAGCUGCCUCAUGCUUCUGCUGCCCUGCCUUCACUGCCAUGAUGGAAUGGACCCUCAAACUGUGAGCCAGAACCAGCCUUCCCUCUCCUAAGUUACCUGUGUCAGCCAGCUGCCACCUGUCCCACCUCUCUGGGUCUCACCACACUCACAACAAAGGGGUGACAAAUUGCAGCUGCCACCUGUCACACCUCUCUGGGUCUCACCACACUCACAACGA